UCCCACCAGCACCAGUGCAGAAGCCUGCACAAACCUGUUCAGAGAACUUUAGGCUAACAAAAAAAUGCCACAAAUCAGAUUAUUGAAAGUUUAACUUCAAAUAUCUGUUAAAAUAACAGAUGAGGCUCUUAGACACUGGAUGAAGGCGCCAUUUACGCCUCUGCUACUCUCUGCAGAGACACCUGUGUCUCCUACAAUUAUUUGCAUUUAAUCUGUUAUUAAUUUAAUUAACCUAGUAGUUACAUGGCACUUUAGUGAUUAUAUUCUAUUUUAUUGUUUUUCUAUUUUCUAACAUUUACGUCUAAAUAUUUACUCAAAUUUUACUUCCGUUUCUGUGUACGAUCUGUGACUAAGGCUUAUUACAUAACAAGAGGCUCACUUCUUAACUGAGACUGCAUAUAGAUUUUAUUUUAAAGGUCAAUCCAGACAAGCAGGACAUCACUGCAGGUGUUGAACGUUACCUUUCUUUAGCCAGAACCAAAGGACAAAAUCUGCGCAUCCCUUACCAGGGAUGAAUUUCCUGAUCCCGUCUUAAUGCUACGUCGUUCGUAAGUUCUACGUUAAAAGACUUAAGUUACGAACGAUGUUGCGUUAAUGCGGCUUCGGGAAACUCACCCCAGAACGAUAUUAUCCGUCUGGCUGUAACUCAAAGUCUCACAUUUUUAAAACCACUUUUGAGUGGCAGGAGAUAAAAUUCACGCUUCUGUUUUCUUAAAGAUUCCUUUUAUCAGUUAAAACAUAGACCGUUCUGUUCGUGUCAAGGACUAGCGCGCCUUGGAUUCAGAUUUGUGAUAAACGGAGGAACAUGACGCUACCCGAGGCUUCAGAUCUCUGAGAAAACACGCUCCCACUCGGAGCACACCUCUACAAGGUCGAUGGUUUAACAUCUGCCUGCCAAGAGAUGAGACUGGUGAAAUCAGGAAGCUAUAAGGAGAGACGAAAUUUACCGAUGAGGAUACUUGUCUUGUAAUCGUUAUUAUCGAUGGCGCCGAAGCGGACGGCUGGUCUUGCGGUCUUUGCAGCAGACCACAGCAGGAGCGACAGAUGGAAGAGGGGUCAGGUUACUGUAGCCACCCCCCCCCGCAAAGUCACCAGCCCAAGCCGGAGCAACUUCGCGACGUGUCACCCCCAAGUCGUCUGUCGAGCAAUGACAUCUGAAAAGAAUUCCCUCACAAGCGAAUGAAAACACGGUGUUUUUUUCGGCACUAGACCAUCAGCUUAAAAUAAUAAUAAUAAUAAUUAUUAUUAUUCCAGAACGGUGAACAACAGUCGAUGAAUACCAAUUUAGAAUAAAAUACCCAAAAGAAGAAACCAGAAAAGAAAAGUGAGCAAUUAUGUG